CCUACCCGCGCGGACUCACAAGAGGUCCUACCACCCGUAAUUACGCAAAUUAAAAUUUGCGGGUUUGAUUUUUAUUACACGAUGUUAUUCCUACACUGUGGAAGUCAAUCGAGAACAUUUGUUGAGUACGUAUUUCAUUAGAAAAAUUGGUACCCGCCUGGGAUUCGAACACUGGUGCAUCGCUCAAGACGAAUGCACCGGACGUCUUAUCCUUUAGGCCACGACGACUUCAAAAUUCAAAAUUCGUUUUUACAACCAGAUACAAUAAAGGUGAAUGCGAACUAGCCCUAAUCAUAUACUACACAAAUUAAUACAAACAGAAACAAAAUGAACAUGCAACUUAUUUAUUGAUAACAUACACCUGUAAAAAUAAUAAAAUUAAUAAGGCGUUAAACAACGAAUUCAGUAACACAAGGGCCGGAUGUUCAAUUAUAAAACCAUGAAAUUUAAACUUUACAAGAAAUAUCAUAAUGUUUCAUUUUAAAGUUCAGUUAGAAUUAUAAUACCUAAUUGGUUAAGUAUCCAAAAUAGUUAUAAAUAGCGAUCAAAUAUUUUGAACAUUCAGUUGCAUCAAGAAAAAAAAACAAAGAGAACGCCUUGUAAAAUGGAAACGCUUAACAUAUUCUUCGUAUUGUGCUUGCUUUUCUUCAUCGCUUUCACUCAAAUUGUUCAAGAAACCCCAGAUCAAGAAUAUCCAGAUGCUAACGAAUUGUUAUACAUAUACAUGGACGCUGCGAAUUCUAGUGAAGAAGUCCUAUUAUCUGCUAUUAUUGAAGUACCAAGAAUUAAAUAAAAUUAUUCUCAAUC